AGGGAGCUGCCGAAGGUGGGACCGAUAACUGGGGUGAAGUCGUAACAAGGUAGCCGUAUCGGAAGGUGCGGCUGGAUCACCUCCUUUCUAAGGAA
rnacentral:rRNA from 1 species